UUGUAGGCCAAAACGCGGAAGUGAGUUAGCAUUUUAGCACCUCCAGUUCCCUCGCCCUAAAGUCUAUGGGUUUUUUGAAUGGGUUUUUGCUAAAUCGCCUGAAAUAAGGUCUGUGGUUAACAAAGCCUCUAAAUAUUUUCACGUUUUGAUCUAUGACAUAAACCAGUUAUAACCUGUUUGUGAUUUUUUAAAAACUUUAUUGUGUCUUAAAAACGGUGGUUGCUAACAAGUUGCUAAAAGGGACUACAUCCUUUGGCGGGGACUUUAGACGUCAUCAUGACAAACAUGAAAUCUCUCACUAUCCUGCGUUUCAGCCUCACGUUCUUAGAAGUCUACCUUUCAGUUAAUAUACAUAACGUUAUAUAUUAUUAUUAUUAUUAUUAAAUAAAUUAUAUAUUAUAUAUUUAGUCUAAUUGUCGUCUUUCCAAAUAUUGUUGUACACAGAAUUCUGUGAUAUUAAGGUAACCGUUUCCAGUUCUUUAUUUCUGUGGAGAGACUGUAGGUCGAUAAUGGUGUUUUGUUUUGUCCCGAGAUGCAACCACAAGUCGUCGAAUGAAAGAUGCUCGUUUUACCGUUUUCCGUCCGAUGUUACCCAGCGGAGACUCUGGGUUCGUGCCGUAAGACGAGCUGACCGGAAGCCCAGUGUCCAUUCUCGCAUCUGCAGCUGUCAUUUUCCUGCAGG